rnacentral:guide_RNA from 1 species
UAUCAACAACGACAAAGAGUCAGUGAAAUUAGAGAUAAAGUUAUUG